rnacentral:sRNA from 1 species
GGCCAGUUGGGGCCUGCCGAACGGGCCAAGAAAGUAGAGGACAUGAUGAAGAAGCUGUGGGGUGACAGGUACUUUGACCCAGCCAACGGCAAGUUCAGCAAGUCAGCCACCAGCCCCGAAGGGAAGAAGCUGCCACGCACCUUCUGCCAGCUGAUCCUGGACCCCAUCUUCAAGGUGUUUGAUGCGAUCAUGAAUUUCAAGAAAGAGGAGACAGCAAAACUGAUAGAGAAACUGGACAUCAAACUGGACAGCGAGGACAAGGACAAAGAAGGCAAACCCCUGCUGAAGGCUGUGAUGCGCCGCUGGCUGCCCGCCGGAGACGCCUUGUUGCAGAUGAUCACCAUCCACCUGCCCUCCCCUGUGACGGCCCAGAAGUACCGCUGCGAGCUCCUGUACGAGGGGCCCCCGGACGACGAGGCUGCCAUGGGUACGUGGUCCCGGCGGCCGGGCCCUGAGUUGCAGCCGGAUGACUUCCUGUUCCCCAAGGUUGUGGGUUGCAGGGUUCCAGAAGGCUGAGCUGCACUGGAAUAAAGCUUGCGGGUUUUCUCUGUCCCUCAGGCAUUAAAAGCUGUGACCCCAAA